GUGUUUUCAUAGAACCUGAUUUUUAUGUCUGGGAGAGGAAAAUAAGCCAGAAGAGGACCAACGUCUCCCUUUUCCUGGGCUUAUUAUCAUAUACCUCUGUGACCUGGAAGGUUCUUCCCGGCAUCUGACCCAAAGCCUUUUUGAACAGCACGGCGGAGGCUCUACAUGGGGUAAGAAAGGCAACCACAGUCCCUGCCUCCAUUUAGAGGAACUGUCCAAAGGCCUUCAUGGACACAGGACAUCCUGGGAUCCCAGAGGUCGUACAGCCCCAGGGCUCAACUCAGCCAAGGUGAGGAAACAACGGCACAGAGAAGGGACUUGCCCAAAUCUCAAAGCUAGGAACUGGUGGAGAAGCUACGUUUAAAAAGCGGGUUGUUAUCAAAUCAGUCAACUUGAAAGAUCUCACUGCAGAAGUCGGGCCAGUAGUAUUCCCACAGCCAAGUCCCAGAAGAGGAGAAAAGAUCCAGGACAGGUGAUUCAUUUUCGCUGGGUCUCAAGCCGGAGUUCACUCCUACAUCGCUACCUCCCCAUCACCAAUUCCAUCCCCAUUCAUGUCCUGACUUCCUUCCUCACAGCACAAGGAA